UAGCCACUAUCCUAGAGGGGACAGACAAGGCACGACACGGCAUGUUUGUAUUUGUACCGAGCCUGCACAUGCUGCAAUUUGGGACAGACUUUGCCUUUGACCGAUCAAUGUACGAUGACUUUCUUUGGACUUAAGCCUUUAGUGUCUUCUCAAAAUACAUGUGUCAGGGCCUGACAUGGCAAUGAGAGUUUAGGGAGAACAACAGUCCAAAAGAAAUGAAAAUAAAAACCCUGCAUGCUCUACACCAAGGAAGGAACUGGCAGAUAAUAUGAAUGGGUGUCUGUGUGCCCCCCCAAACAUCCUCUCUUAUAUUUCUUCAUGAUUUUAAGCCUAUUCAGUUCAAUUUACCUGAACGGCCACGGCCAUGCUCUGAACCAUUCUCUACAACCCUUAUUGAGCAGUUGAGUUAUUCUGCUCCAUCCUUGCUUCUAUUUCUGGUCUUAAUUCCUUUUUAAAAUAUAUUUUUCUCUCGCUUUUGCAGCAUCCUCUGUUUUUUCAUUCACUAGCUACCGCACUACUUGAACCUGAGAGGACAGGAAAGGACAAAACAAGCAUUUUUUUCAAAUGUGAGGGAGAUGCUUGCAUUUUUACAGACUAUUGCAGGUUAAUGUAAAGCUGCCUGUUUAUAUACACACUUCAAACAACAAGCAUUUUCCUAUCGCUGAAGUAGUUGGUCCUACGGCAUUGCAAAAAAAAAAAUAAGGAAAAAAAUGGAGAAAAAACUCCUCUGGCUUAAUUUCUUUCUUUCCCAUAUUCGUUGUCUAUAUGUGUUAACUGUACCAGUGUUUUCACCUGUCCCUAGAAUUUAGAAGGAAAUAAUAAUCGCUGGUAGAGCUUGUUCGCUAGUUCAUCUACUGUUUGAUUUUGAUUUAAGGGAAAGUGUUUGUUGCCUCUUUGUGCUACUGAUUUAUAUAAAAGGUAUCCAGUAUUUGUUGCCACAAAAGUAUAGUUCAUCAACACUUUUUGUUUGUGCAACCUCUUGAGCAAAUGUCUUUCAAACAAAAAUGUAUGACUAUUUAUGUAACGCUACUACCAUUUUAUAUCAUUUGUGUUGGAAUCUCAGUGCUUUUCUAUGAAUAAAGUGUGAAACACGUA
ensembl:lncRNA